rnacentral:misc_RNA from 1 species
GAUGAAGAACGUAGCGAAAUGCGAUAAGUAAUGUGAAUUGCAGAAUUCAGUGAAUCAUCGAAUCUUUGAACGCACAUUGCGCCCGCCAGUAUUCUGGCGGGCAUGCCUGUCCGAGCGUCAUUUCAACCAUCAAGCCCCCGGGCUUGUGUUGGGGACCUGCGGCUGCCCGCAGACCCUGAAAACCAGUGGCGGGCUCGCUGUCACACCGAGCGUAGUAGCAAUCACCUCGCUCAGGGCGUGCUGCGGGUUCCGGCCGUUAAACAGCCUUACAAAACCCAAGGUUGACCUCGGAUCAGGUAGGAAGACCCGCUGAACUUAAGCAUAUCAAUAAGCGGAGGA